GUGGAUUAGAUACCCUGGUAGUCCACGCCGUAAACGAUGUCGACUUGGAGGUUGUGCCCUUGAGGCGUGGCUUCCGGAGCUAACGCGUUAAGUCGACCGCCUGGGGAGUACGGCCGCAAGGUUAAAACUCAAAUGAAUUGACGGGGGCCCGCACAAGCGGUGGAGCAUGUGGUUUAAUUCGAUGCAACGCGAAGAACCUUACCUACUCUUGACAUCCAGAGAACUUUCCAGAGAUGGAUUGGUGCCUUCGGGAACUCUGAGACAGGUGCUGCACGGUUGUCGCCAGCU
rnacentral:rRNA from 1 species